GAUGAUCGCUGGCGGCGUGCCUAAUACAUGCAAGUCGAGCGAACAGACGAGGAGCUUGCUCCUCUGACGUUAGCGGCGGACGGGUGAGUAACACGUGGAUAACCUACCUAUAAGACUGGGAUAACUUCGGGAAACCGGAGCUAAUACCGGAUAAUAUAUUGAACCGCAUGGUUCAAUAGUGAAAGACGGUUUUGCUGUCACUUAUAGAUGGAUCCGCGCCGCAUUAGCUAGUUGGUAAGGUAACGGCUUACCAAGGCAACGAUGCGUAGCCGACCUGAGAGGGUGAUCGGCCACACUGGAACUGAGACACGGUCCAGACUCCUACGGGAGGCAGCAGUAGGGAAUCUUCCGCAAUGGGCGAAAGCUUGACGGAGCAACGCCGCGUGAGUGAUGAAGGUCUUCGGAUCGUAAAACUCUGUUAUUAGGGAAGAACAAAUGUGUAAGUAACUAUGCACGUCUUGACGGUACCUAAUCAGAAAGCCACGGCUAACUACGUG
rnacentral:rRNA from 1 species